GCCUGGGUGGCUCAGUCGGUUAAGCGGCCGACUUCGGCUCAGGUCAUGAUCUCGCGGUCCGUGAGUUCGAGCCCCGCCUCGGGCU
rfam:Felis catus isolate Cinnamon breed Abyssinian chromosome A3, whole genome shotgun sequence.